rnacentral:rRNA from 1 species
GAUGAACGCUAGCGGCAGGCCUAAUACAUGCAAGUCGGACGGGAUUUGGGAGCUUGCUCCCGAUGAGAGUGGCGCACGGGUGCGUAACACGUAUGUAACCUACCUUUGUCAGGGGGAUAGCCUCUCGAAAGAGAGAUUAAGACCGCAUAACAUUACAAUGUGGCAUCACAAAGUACUCAAAUAUUUAUAGGACAAAGAUGGGCAUGCGGAACAUUAGCUAGUUGGUACGGUAACGGCGUACCAAGGCUACGAUGUUUAGGGGAUCUGAGGGGAUGGCCCCCCACACUGGUACUGAGACACGGACCAGACUCCUACGGGAGGCAGCAGUAAGGAAUAUUGGUCAAUGGACGGAAGUUUGAACCAGCCAUGCCGCGUGCAGGAAGACGGCCCUACGGGUUGUAAACUGCUUUUGCAGGGGAAUAAACCCCGAUAUGUAUAUCGGGCUGAAUGUACUCUGAGAAUAAGGAUCGGCUAACUCCGUGCCAGCCGCCGCCGUAA